rnacentral:rRNA from 1 species
GACGAACGCUGGCGGCGUGCCUAAUACAUGCAAGUCGAGCGGACUUUCAAGAAGCUUGCUUUUUGAAAGUUAGCGGCGGACGGGUGAGUAACACGUGGGCAACCUGCCUGCAAGACGGGGAUAACUCCGGGAAACCGGGGCUAAUACCGGAUAAUAUCUUCCUUCGCAUGAAGGAAGGUUGAAAGGCGGCGCAAGCUGCCGCUUGCAGAUGGGCCCGCGGCGCAUUAGCUAGUUGGUGAGGUAACGGCUCACCAAGGCGACGAUGCGUAGCCGACCUGGGAGGGUGGUCGGCCACACUGGGACCGAGACACGGCCCAGACUCCUACGGGAGGCAGCAGUAGGGAAUCUUCCGAAAUGGACGAAAGUCUGACGGAGCAACGCCGCGGGAGCGAAGAAGGUCUUCGGAUCGGAAAGCUCUGUUGUCAGGGAAGAAAAAGUACCGUGCGAACAGGGCGGUACCUUGACGGUACCUGACCAGAAAGCCACGGCUAACUACGUG